GAAUGCUUAGUACGGCGAGUGAGCGGCAAAGCUCAAUUUGAAUCUGGUACCUUUGGUGCCCGAGUUGUAAUUUGGAGAGUACCACUUUGGGACUGUACUUUGCCUAUGUUCCUUGGAACAGGACGUCAUGGAGGGUGAGAAUCCCGUGUGGCGAGGGUGUCAGUUCUUUGUAAAGGGUGCUCGAAGAGUCGAGUUGUUUGGGAAUGCAGCUCUAAGUGGGUGGUAAAUUCCAUCUAAAGCUAAAAUACAGGCGGAGAGACCGAUAGGCGAACAAAGUACAAGUGAUGGAAAGAUGGAAAAGAACUUUGAAAAGAGAAAGUGGAAAAAGUACGGUGAAUUGGUGAAAAGGGAAGGGCAAUUGAACCAAACUGGGUGUUUGCCCCCUCUUGCCUCCCUGGGGCUGGGGACUCCCCCGCCUACGGGCCCAAUCCGGUUUGGGGGCGGAAAAACCAUGGGAAGGGGCCUGGCCCCCGGGUAAAGUGAUACCCCGGGGAAAACCCCACCCAACAAAAAACCAAAACUUUUUCCGGGGGGGGAAAAGG
rnacentral:rRNA from 1 species